rnacentral:lncRNA from 1 species
UAGGAAAGCCAAUCAGCUUAUAAAUGGUGCAUCCCUUUUCUCAACUCCAAAAGAUUAUGGUUUAAAGUUCGAAAGGAUUUUUAUUAUUAAGUGACAAAAGAAAACGAUUGUUUAGAAAAGGAUUCAUUAGUUUCAAAACUCCGAGUCGCCACUUGGCAUAAAUCGGGUGUGUCAAGUCACCCAUGAAUAUCCUUUUUCAAAAUGAUUUUGACUCUAUAAAACUGAUCUGCGAACAGAGAUUCCGGCUAAGGAAUUCUGUUGAGAGAGGGGAAUGUGUUAGGCACCCCUCGAUCCCGUGGUUCGACCACGGUUGCUUGGUAGAGCGUAUCGGCUAAUUUGACAUUACAAAUGUAUAAACCACACAAAAACACAUAAAACAAUCCAUCAAACACAUGAAACAAAACAAAUCCAAAAUUUAGUGUCUAGUCCAAUUAUACAGUCCAAAAAUAGAAAAAUGCGUAAAAAUAAAUCCUAUUCUAAAUUAAUUCUAGACUAAUGCUCUACCCGACGCCUCGGGCCUUCAUCACGAACGUCCUCCGGGUACAAGAUACCUCGGGGCAUUCCCCGGUGAAUAAAUAUAUACAGAUACUUUGGGGCAUUCCCAGGCCAAAUCAAUACAAAUCCCUCGAGGCAUUCCCUGACCAAAUGAAUACAUUUUUAGUGCGGGAAAAUAAAACUAUUCAACAAAAUUUCAAACAUUCCACGGAAUUUCAAACAUUCAACCAAAGCCACGAGUUCUAAACUUUGUCUACCCAACCUAUGUUUGCCUAAACCAAUCGAUGUAUCAUGAUACUACCAAGUUCAAUUAACGUUUAUUUCAAGUCAAACAACCAAUGAAUCAAAACUAACCAAAAUUCACCAAUUAUGUCAAGUUUUUAAUUUUCACCCCUAAAUUAAUUUUAAUUUUCAAACGAGAUACCAUUUCACCGUACAAUCUAUGAUCAAGGGAAACAAUCACGAAUCAAAACAAAUCACUAUUCAUCAUCAACAAAGAUCAAGCAACACAUGAUAUUUAAUCCAACACACCAAAUAUAAUAAAUGAUAAGAUAAAAAAAAGGAGAUAAAAAAAGGGAAAGAAUAGAAUUGGACCUCGAUUUAAAGCUUUCUCAAUUCGAUGUAUUAUUUCGAUUAAAUUCGGUAGAGUCCGCGCCGAUGAAACUCAAAUUCGAACCUCAACAAACCAAUCCGAGCUCGAUAUAUUCUUUUUCUCCGUUUUUCACCAACCCAAAUCAGAAUCGAGAAAGCAACAUGAAGCUAGUACUAAAAUUCAUAGGCCCUUUUUGUUGUUUCUCUCAUUUUCCGAUGGACCUCGCCGGAAUCAAGCAGAAAUGGGUCAAGUUCGAUCGUUUGGGGGUUCGUCCGGUCACUAUUUUAGCGCCAUCGGAGUUCCGGCGAGCUUAACAGUGGCGAUGUUGCUUUCCUCCUCCCUGAAUCCUCUCUCGUAAGAUCUUCCUCCUCUCUCUCCGUUCAGUCUCUCAGUUACUAGCUUCCAUUCCUAUUUUUUCUCUCUGUUUCAGCACGCGGGUGUGUGAAAUGGUGUUGUUGUAUGCGUGUUCUGAUUCUCCCUAUGUGCGUGUAUUCUCUCCCUUCUCUAUAUCUCUCUCCUUCGUGUGGGUGUAGAUUAGCCGAAAAAGAAAGAAGAACUAUGGUUGUGUGUUGUAUUGUUUUCGUGAGAAUUCAGUCUUCUCCCAAGUGAAUUGGGUCUAUGAAUGGAGAGGAUCUUGUGUGCGUCUGUCCUCUAUGUGUAUUUUUUAUGAUGAAUUCCAAAAGAAAAGAGAGACCCCCCUCUUUUUCCUUAUGGGCCCCUUCUUUUAUUUGGAAUCUCAUUCUGUUUUGGGUGAGGCAAAGAAAGAUCUCACGUGGUGGGGUAGGGUCACAUGGGUAUAGAAUGAGGUGUAAAGUUGGUUAGAAUAGAAUUAAAUUUGUUAGGUAGUUUGUUAGGGAGUUUUUUUUUUUUUAAGUUGUUAUUUUUUUGUAUUUUUGCGGGGUAUAAUUACAUGGGUGAAGGUACACGGUAGGAUAAAGUAAAAAUAGGUAAAAACGAUAUCGGGGAGGGACGAAAUUAGAUGUCUACAAUGACACUUUUUCAUAGCAUGUUCAUGUCUUUUGCAAUAAUUGCAAAACAAAGAUGAAGAAUUUUGACCAGUAAAUUGAGCUUUUCUGAAGUUAGGAUCAGAAUUGGAUUUUAGAGAAGGAUUUCUGUUAUGCUGGGAUUAACCAUCUCUAUUGUACUGAGAGAAACUUCUGUUAUUAUUGAUAUUAAACUUAGGUGUUCCUCUAGUAUUGUUGGAGGGAGAAGGGGCUGAAAAGGCAACUGAAUCACCAGAGAAGUUAGGGGGUAGAGGAGUGGGUUUCCCUUUGACUCUCAUCUUGCAACAAUAGGGAGUACACUUUGUUAACUAAUGGAAGAGGAGACAUCAUUAGAAUGGUACUCUUUAUUAUGGAAAAGAAUCAUUCAAUCUAUUUAGGAAUUGAAAGAGUUGUUGAUCUUCUUUGAAUUUAAACAAAGCACCACAGGUGCAAGUUGGACCAACAUAAGCACAAUGUAACUCAUCCUAAAGGCUCUUAAAUUUUGUAUAAUAUGUGGCAAUAUUAGAAAAACCCUGAGCAUUAGAAUUAAUUUCCUUUUGAAUUUGGAUGUACUUAGAUCCAUUUGAUUGUCCAAACCUAAUAUUCAGAUUCUCUUAAAUUUCUUUGGCAGUUUUGAGGCAUAUGACACUGAUGGCAAUGUCUCGAGAAAUAGAGUUUAUGAUCUAAGCUUUGACUAUAUUAUUGCAUCUCUUCCAAUAAGAAAAAUAAGGUGAAUUGGUGAAAGGAGCAGAUGUUCUCUCAUCUAGUGUACUCAGCUUAUUUUUAGCUGGAAGGGAAGUCAACAUGCUACUUCUCCAAAUGGUAAAACCACUACCAGAGAAAAACACAACUAUGAUUUGACUACUGGGGCUGUCAAGAGGGUGAACAUAAAAGGGAUGAAACGAAUCGAUUUAAAAUGGGGUAAACCCUUUCGAUGAGUCUGAAGGCAUUUUCUACCAGUCAAAGAUAUUCAAAACUACUAUAAUAUCUUGCUGAAACACCACAAAACCAGCAAUAAUACGAACCGACAAAUACCUUCUACAAUAUUCAGUUGAAACACCAUAAAACCAGAAAUAAUACGAACCAACGAUAAUACGAACCAGCGGUAUCACAACAAAUAGUAGAAAAUACUACAAUAACCAGUGGAAAUACCAUAAUAACAGUCAAUAACCAGCUCAAAACAGUAUACCGUAUUUGAAUGAUAAAUCGGACCUAGAUGUUUGGUUCAAUUUGAGAUUUCUACAAGGAUUAAGAACGAAAUUACCAGACUUCUUCUUAAUCCUAAGAAGUAAAGGUCUUGAAAACAAGACAAGACAGAUCUGAAAUCGAGUUCAAAAUCCACAUACGCCAAAACGUCCACCACGAGUAUUAUCGAAAGAAAACAAAGAAGAAGAGGAUUCGUAUACACCGCUCUAAUACCACGUUAGCAUCAACGACAUCGAGGUCGCCCUAGAUCCAUGGAGAAAACCUGAACAGUAAAGAGAAAAAAAUGAAAGAUGAAGUAAUCGAGAAACUUCUGUUAUUACAGUUGUACUCAUCUGAAUGGAUGUUGCCAAAAUAUCUGAUCCUCUGUAUAUCUCUAAUAUAAUACGUUGUAAACAUAAGUAUGAGUCCUUAACUAUACUACUGGGCCACAAUGUAUAUUGGGCCUAACAUACAUAUACAUUAUAAACAUAAGUUUUAAUGAUUGAACAUGGAAUAAGAAGAAGGAAGAAGGUGGGGAAAAGAAGGAAGAAGAUGAAGGAUCAUCGAAAAAGAAGAUGAAGAAGGAGGAGGAGACCAAAAUGGCCAAAUUAAAGGAAAUUAUAUCGGUCGAAUGACUAAUUCAGGAAAGAACUUUGGCCGAAUGGCCAUUAAGGAAGGAAAUGAUUAGUUUGUUAUUUUUUAAUUAAGAAAUUAAAUUCAAUGGACAUUUUGUCUAGCUUUUUCCUUUAAUUAAUUGGUCAAACUUUAAUUUUUGAAUUAUAAAUAAGUGAAAUAAAUAUUUACGAAAGUCAAAAUAUUUUCUAAAAUCAUUUAAUGCUAGUUAGCCAUUUCAUUUUGAAAAAU